UACGAAGGGGGGCUAGCGUUGCUCGGAAUCACUGGGCGUAAAGGGCGCGUAGGCGGAUCUUUUAAGUCGGGGGUGAAAGCCCAGGGCUCAACCCUGGAAGUGCACUGGAUACGACGGCGCUGGAGUCCUGAAGAGGAGGGCGGAAUUCCCGGUGUAGAGGUGAAAUUCGUAGAUAUCGGGGAGGAACACCAGUGGCGAAGGCGGCUCUCUGGACAGGUACUGACGCUGAGACGCGAAAGCGUGGGUAGCAAACAGG
rnacentral:rRNA from 1 species